GGCUGGGUAGCUCAGUUGUUUAGAGCAUUGUCCUGAUACACCAAAUUUGUGGGUUCAAUCCCCAGUCAAGGCA
rfam:Myotis davidii contig121171, whole genome shotgun sequence.